UCCUUAAGAUGUUUGUAAAGAUGCUACCAC
rnacentral:piRNA from 1 species